rnacentral:rRNA from 1 species
GGUUAAGCGACUAAGCGUACACGGUGGAUGCCCUGGCAGUCAGAGGCGAUGAAGGACGUGCUAAUCUGCGAUAAGCGUCGGUAAGGUGAUAUGAACCGUUAUAACCGGCGAUUUCCGAAUGGGGAAACCCAGUGUGAUUCGUCACACUAUCAUUAACUGAAUCCAUAGGUUAAUGAGGCGAACCGGGGGAACUGAAACAUCUAAGUACCCCGAGGAAAAGAAAUCAACCGAGAUUCCCCCAGUAGCGGCGAGCGAACGGGGAGCAGCCCAGAGCCUGAAUCAGUGUGUGUGUUAGUGGAAGCGUCUGGAAAGGCGUGCGAUACAGGGUGACAGCCCCGUACACAAAAAUGCACAUACUGUGAGCUCGAUGAGUAGGGCGGGACACGUGGUAUCCUGUCUGAAUAUGGGGGGACCAUCCUCCAAGGCUAAAUACUCCUGACUGACCGAUAGUGAACCAGUACCGUGAGGGAAAGGCGAAAAGAACCCCGGCGAGGGGAGUGAAAAAGAACCUGAAACCGUGUACGUACAAGCAGUGGGAGCACGCUUAGGCGUGUGACUGCGUACCUUUUGUAUAAUGGGUCAGCGACUUAUAUUCUGUAGCAAGGUUAACCGAAUAGGGGAGCCGAAGGGAAACCGAGUCUUAACUGGGCGUUAAGUUGCAGGGUAUAGACCCGAAACCCGGUGAUCUAGCCAUGGGCAGGUUGAAGGUUGGGUAACACUAACUGGAGGACCGAACCGACUAAUGUUGAAAAAUUAGCGGAUGACUUGUGGCUGGGGGUGAAAGGCCAAUCAAACCGGGAGAUAGCUGGUUCUCCCCGAAAGCUAUUUAGGUAGCGCCUCGUGAAUUCAUCUCCGGGGGUAGAGCACUGUUUCGGCAAGGGGGUCAUCCCGACUUACCAACCCGAUGCAAACUGCGAAUACCGGAGAAUGUUAUUACGGGAGACACACGGCGGGUGCUAACGUCCGUCGUGAAGAGGGAAACAACCCAGACCGCCAGCUAAGGUCCCAAAGUCAUGGUUAAGUGGGAAACGAUGUGGGAAGGCCCAGACAGCCA